rnacentral:snRNA from 1 species
GGAUGUGAAGCUGAUCUGGCUGCAACGUCCGUCACCCCAUUGAUCACCAGGGUAGAUUCAGCUGAUCUGGCUGGCUAGGCAGGUGUCGCCUUCCUCCCUCACUGCUUCACGUGACUCCUUCCUGAAGCAGCGCGCUCAGUGGAAGAGGACGACCAUCCGCAAUAGAGGGGGACUGGUCUUUUGUCAAGGGUAUAAGAGUAGCUGUGCUCCCCUGCUGGAACCUCCAAACAAGCUCUCAAGGUUCAUGAACAUGAUUUUAUUUCAACUGUUGUAUGAUCAAUAAUAGAGCUUCAUCGUGAUGGUGUUCAAAGAUCCCUGCACUUUGGAGUCAGGGAGCCUCUAU